UAUCUAAAUCUUCUUCCAUAGAUUUAUGCUGAAGAAAUUUGUAUCCAAUCUUCAAUUAUCUUGUUGGGUUCAAUCUACGGAGAAAUAAAGAUUUUAGGUGAAGCGAUUCCAAACAAAAAAAUCCAAUCAGACAUGGGAAGGAGAAAAAGGGUUUUAGAUGAAGUGAUUCCAAGCAGAAAAAACAAAUCAGGCAUGGAUUCAACAGCUAAUGAGCAAAU